GAUGAACGCUGGCGGCGUGCCUAAUACAUGCAAGUCGAGCGAACGGACGAGAAGCUUGCUUUUCUGAUGUUAGCGGCGGACGGGUGAGUAACACGUGGAUAACCUACCUAUAAGACUGGGAUAACUUCGGGAAACCGGAGCUAAUACCGGAUAAUAUUUUGAACCGCAUGGUUCAAAAGUGAAAGACGGUCUUGCUGUCACUUAUAGAUGGAUCCGCGCUGCAUUAGCUAGUUGGUAAGGUAACAGCUUACCAAGGCAACGAUGCAUAGCCGACCUGAGAGGGGGAACGGCCAAACUGGAACUGGGAAACGGUCCAGAAUCCCAAGGGAGGCAGCAGUAGGGAAUCUUCCGCAAUGGGCGAAAGCCUGACGGAGCAACGCCGCGUGAGUGAUGAAGGUCUUCGGAUCGUAAAACUCUGUUAUUAGGGAAGAACAUAUGUGUAAGUAACUGUGCACAUCUUGACGGUACCUAAUCAGAAAGCCACGGCUAACUACGUG
rnacentral:rRNA from 1 species